UCCGUCUUCUCUCUACUUUUCUCUUCAUCUUAUACACUGUUCAUCAUCUUCUUCUUCUCCAUUGCAUCUGCUAAGGUAAGUAAACCUAGCAGAAGUAGUUAUGCAAAGAGGAGAGGUCGUCCAAGAAAGGAAUUAGUCCCAAUCUAUGCGAGUAAUACAGUACUCCAAAAUACUGUUACUAUUGUACCGAUGGUAGGUACUACUGUUCCAUUAAAUCCUACUGUGGUUACUGUUCCAUUACCUCAAAUAUCAACAGAUCCACAACCAUCUGGUGUUCCAGUGAUUCCAAUAGCAGAUGUGAAGAGUACAGAGCCUUCAAUCAAGUCAGUUGCUGGUUCGAUGGAGCUGGAGAAUGGAGUCCAGAUCUGCAUGCAACAAUCAACACCAGCUGAUCCACCAAAGGCUGUUACAGAGGAAGGUCCAAAACUAGAUCCACCCAAACAGUGGACUAGUCUCUUCCAGAGUAACAGACUUGCUGCAAAUGGUAUGUCCUUAGAAUAUAUUCCCCCUACGCUUGUUAAUGGC
rnacentral:lncRNA from 1 species